rnacentral:lncRNA from 1 species
GUUUUUUAAUCUUCACACAUGUGGUUGUGUGGAUCAAGGGGCUACAUGUAAAGUUUGGGACACAUGGCAGCAGGACUGUGCACAUGUUAUGUGGAUCCACAGCCAUACUGUCAGAAUCCUGCCACCAAGUGCUUGCAUAAAAACCCUCGUGCAAUGCUUGUUCACAAACACCUACACCACAGACAUACACACCAGAUGUAUGUGUAUACAAAGAAUUACAUACCAGGAAGGACAAUUGUGGUAAGAUGGCUGUAACAAUGUUUGUCGGUGUGGCAAAUGUAACAAAAAUAUUUCACAUAUAGACAAAGAUUUGCAAUGCAUGCUACUAUCCCACAAGGCUGUGUACUGGUUCCUGACCCAAAAGAUCCCUCGUGCUGCUGGGUACCAAGUUGUUUGAUCCCUCCGAAACAAACCAUUGGUAUAGUGGUUGCUCCUGAACCUACUGGAACAGUAACAGGUUGUAUAUACAAAGGAAUGCUUGUGUAUCAGGGACAAAUAUUUGAUGACGGUUGUGACUAUUCAUGUGAAUGCCUUGAUAAUUUCACAGGAAAAUACAGAUGUGAUAAAAGUUUCAGGUCUCGACUGCAUUCACAUAGAAUUAUACCAGCCUAAUAUGAUUUUGGCCAUAUAGGCUCCAGAAAAGUGAAGUUUUGGUUAAGAGAGCCAGCCAAUCAAAAGGCGUCAUUUCUCAUGAGCCUUAAAAAUAUGGAUGCCUCAAUGAUGUCCACUGUUUCCACCUUCAUCUUGUCCUUGGAGAGCCGACCCUACACACUUGUGUUGUUUGAUAUCAGAUCGUAACAUUGGUAAAAUUCCUGCCACAGUUUAUCCACUAGGAUACAGCUAGUAUACAAUAAAUCCAAUCAUUAAACCAACACCAGUAACUGGUGGCUACAUCAUUGGUGGUGGACUGGUACCAUACCAGACAGGUGUGCUGUAUUUGACCGUGACACGCCUUGCUGCAACCUUGACACUCCUUGCUGCAACCUUGACACUCCUGCAAAGUUGUUUUCCUGCAUGUAUCCACACACAUGAAAUGCUGGUGGCUAACGAAGAACUGUGGUCUCAUACUGAUGCUUAUCCAUAUUUUGUUUACAAUACUUACCUCUUUAUACAAGUUCAAUGUAUUUGGAUAUGUUCAUCCAAAAGAAUGUGAUUCAAAUGAUUAAAUAACGGGUCAGUAAGAAUCCUAUUUCAAAGAGUUUAUAAGUGGAUAACCUUCACUUUCUUCUUUUUUUUUCCUUGUAUUUAUAUUGUAUGGUCAAAAUGGUCAUAUAUCGCCAAGUUUGGAUAUAUAUAUAUAUGUUGUAUGUGAUGAAUUAAAUGGUUGUAUAAUAUUAAAUUGUUUAAGUACAUUUUUUGUACACAUUUUUGACAUAGUUAACUUGUACAGAAUACUUUACGUAAUAAUUAUAAAUGUUUUUCAGCCGUAAUUGUUUUUCCAGUAAAAUAGAAAUAUACAUCCCUUCGUAUUAAAAUGUGAAGCAAAAUAUAUAAUUCCAUUCACCUGCUUUAAACAUAGUCAUUUUGAGGUCUUUAUGUUGCAAUAGACAUUAUGUUAAUAUAUAGAGGGUAUUUUGUUUGUUUCAGUGUAAGAUAUAUAUAUCUUUCACGAGUGAAAAGCAGAGGCAGUAUUUUCAUGAAUGGCAUGAAAAUAUUAGACACUGUGUUCAUGUGUGAAAGAUAUUUAGAUUUUACAUGUAAAACAAUUUUUCUGUUUAUGUUUUGACAAAAUUUACCCAUUUUAUAGUUUCUUGCCAGUGAAAAAUACAAAUAUUUUUACUGUGAAAAUACCAGAUAUAUUUCAAUAACUCACUAAAAAUCUUUUAAUUAAUUUUGAUCUUACACUUAAACAAACAAAAAAUCCUUUUAAGUUUGGCUACAAGACAGCUAUAUGGAAAAAAGAUAUUUUGUUAAGUGUUAGCGGUCUUUCAAUAAUGGAACAUCAGUGUGUGGUUUGUUUGCCAACAGCUAAAAUACUGCUGUAUUCAGAUAUUGCCUUCUUAAGGUUCAUGAUCAUUUUGUGAAAAUGAAAGUUUUCAGAUAUUUUAACAAAUUCUUAUUGUGAUACAAAAUUUGUUCUACAGGUUUCUUGCAGCUUACACGUUCAGUCAAACUUUGUGUUCUACAGGUUUCUUGCAACUUACACUAUCAGUCAGAAUUUGUGUUCUACAGGUUUCUUGCAGCUUACACUAUCAGUCAUAAUUUGUGUUCUACAGGUUUCUUGCAGCUUUAUCUGGCACCACAAAUGUCAACUAGAUUCUACUUUGAAAAUUAAU